CUUUUUUUGAAAUUACACACACAAUGAAAUAUAUUUCUUUGUUUCUGAAUUCCAAGUAGGCUAAUUUUUCCAAGUCUUCAGUCAGAAACAAAGCUAGGAAGAUUUCAGUACAAAAGGUGAAGACUGCUUAAUGUGAUGAUAAACUGAAAGCAAUUAAAUUAGACUGGAAAUAUUUCUGCAGCCCUAAAUGUAGUAGGAGUUGCCUGUUGAAGUGUUAUAAAUAACUCAUCCUCCCCCACUCCUCCUAUUUGGCAGAGUUGUUUUGCCACUUAGUUCUUUAAUUUUAUGAAAGUUACCUGAUCUUCAGGUUGCCAAAAUACAUGUUAAUUCAUCUUGUUCAUCUGGAGGUGGUUAAAAGAUGGCAAAUAUGAAUUCAUUCCUAGCCUUUGCCUAGUGAUAGUUCAGAGUUCAGUUCCAAAGCCUGUACUAAUUUUUUGACACAAGUGUGCCAAAUGCAACUGUCCUCUCCUCAGAGGGGAAUUGUGGAGCAAGUCAAGGAUGACUUUUAUUGAGUAGCUGACCAAACAAGCAGAAAUGAGAACACUUGCAUCUUUAAUAAAAGAACAGUGCACAUCUUUCCCCCUUGACUAAACAAUCGCACAACCACAGUAAAUGCAAGCACUUCCAUUUUAAUUAUCAAGCACCUGCCUGUCUUUAAGUGAUUGUUGUGAGUCAGAGAGGAAGAAUCUGUCUUAAACAAAAUGAGUGUUAUUCCAGUGGCAUGCAAGCCUCUGGGCAGCUGACUCAGCAGUUAGUGCUGAACUCAGUUCCCAAGGUUGGAAAAGCAGUAAGCAAAAACUUACUUAAAAAAACCACACACACACACACACACACACACACACACAAAAACCCCAAACAAACCCACCAAGCCUGAAAAGCAAAAAAGAAAACCCAAACCAACACCAAAAAGCACCCCCUGACGCUAUGUUUAUUAACAUCUGAUUUGUAUAAAUUCAUUUCACUGUGGAAAUAUUAAGUUACGAAACACUGGAUUAAAAACACUGGAAAAUUGGUGAGGAUGGUAUGCACUUAACUCCCACAUGAAGUUAAAUGGCAAAAGGAGUUAGUUCCACAACUUCCAUACUUCUGAGUUAGACCGAAGGCAACAGACCAAUAUUUUGGCACUUGGUUCUGCUCUUGAUUCCUUGAAUGUGCUGAAUGGUCAGAAGCUUACCUGAUGCCCACAGCCACUGCUUCACUGGAAGCUGGGACCUUCUUCUGCAAGCCGAGGCAAAGCAGAUGCCAUGACAAACAUGUGCUGUUUAACUCUGGGCAGACAUGGAGGAGCAAUGUUCUGUAGACAGCAUCAAGCAGGUGAUAACUGCAAAUUAUUGAAUGGAGCUGCGCACUAGGAAUAUAAAGAAAAUAGAUGAAAGUAGCUGAAGGGAAAAUAGCUGUGCAUGCUUUGUCAACAGUAGUUAGGUCAGAGCAGCCUGAAAGAGAAAGGUAAUGUUAUAGAGGACUUGAGAAUAGCCUGACUUAUAAAUAUCCCACUUUAGAUAUGCUUUUGCAGUGAUUGUUUCAAGAUAAAAAAGCUUGGUGGGCUGUUACUGUCUUGACUUUUAUGCCCAGGGCUGUAAUACUUAAUUCUCAUCCCACCAUUAGACUUUCAGUCCAUUUGCUUUUAUUGCAGUUCUCUAUUAAAAAAAAAAAAAAAAAAAAAAAAAAAAAAAAACACCCAAGUUUCCUAAUUCUCUUUAUUGUCACACUUAUUCCUGAAGUUAUGUUCUGGUGCUCUGCAAGUCACAUGCUUUUUGGCUGCAGAUACAUUCGUACUGUGCCUUCUCAAGUUGAGAUUUAGAGGCACUGAUUUUGGUGAUGACCAAAAAAUAAAAAUGAAGUGUUUUAAGCAUGAGUGCCUCUUUGUAGGAAAGAAAUAGAUUUGCUAUUUCUAAAUGUAAUAUGAUUACAGGAAAUAUGCUUAAUAAGUUUGAGGAUAGCUGUCUCUUUCUGAGGGGAAAAACUUACACUUCAUUUUCUUGUCCCGUCCGAAAGGACCAGGCUUCCAGAGGGACUGGAAGAGAAGUAUUGCAACUGCACUCCUAAUAAACCUGGAACUGCAGAAUGUCGCAGUGAAUGCUGUUUUUCCAGAAUUUGUGACACUCUGAGAGCCUCAGCCACUGUCCCUAUUGCUGCAUGCCAGGGACGCAGAUCUACCGUAGGCACUCCGGCUACAGCUACUGGCACAGUAUAAAUUAGAGGCUGUCUGUAGGGGCAGGUUGAAGAGUAGUUUUUCCUUCUUGGUAGGUCUCACAAAGCAUCUGUUACUGACGAGUAUGAGAAAGAGAAAAAUAGAGAAUACUUAAGGACAUUCUUUUCUGUGUUAGUGUCUACAUCCAAGUGAGGCAGUGUCAAAACAAUCCUGAAUGUCACUUGUGUACAUUAAAAUGGUCAGAGGUGGUUUAAUGCUGGAUGCUUUUAUACUCUUUAUCUACCUCCCCUGUCUAGAUUUGUCAUAGUGUUAAUCCUUGUAUCUAAAAGAUUGUUCCUCUUAUGAAGCAAUACCCAUAUUUAUUUACAGCAGUCUUGUCUUUGACUUCUAAAGCCAAGUUGAUGUUAAUGGACACUCAGACUUUGCAAGGGUUUGGGUUGGGUCACUGCUAAGAUAGUUGCUGAGAUGGUAUUGCUUCCUACAAUGCUGAGUCAACAAUUAAGUGUUAAUUGCAAGGUUGGUAGCAGGUGUUUUAUAAAUAUCUUUUUAUGCUAAUGACUUCCCAAAAUGAUAAGUUUUUCAGGAUCAAUGAAGCUAUUAAGGGUUAUGAGAGUGGCAGAUCGCCACAGAGAUGAGACUUCAUUCAUAGUUAGCAAAGAUUAGAACAGCUAUUUUAACCAUUUGUUUGAUUUCAGAGUGAUGAAAGGACAGUUUCUUCAGCUGAGUUGAGGAAAAGAAGCGAUUAAAGAGAAGGCAUAGAGAGAAUGCAAACUGAGGAAGAAGAAAUAGUAUGGGAGAGAUGUUUACUCAAACAACCUUGGCUUCCUUAACGAUGAAUGAAGACUUGCAAGUUGUGGCCUUCACCUAAAAAUUAAAACCAGGAGAGUGCCCGAUAAUCUGUUUAAGGAGAGAAUAUAUAAUAAUACUUCUUGAAAGAGGUGGGGAUGUUAAAGCCACCUGGACAGCUCCAAAGAGUUCAAAGAGAAGAUGAGCCACAAUGACCCAAACUGGUAAAGGAAAAAGGGUUCAGGGGAAGCUGUUAUUUGUGAGAUGACCUGCAAACAAGCUUUUUCUCGAGAGCAGCGUGUAGAAGUUCUCUAGGAAGAGAGAGAUGAGUUUUUCAGGACUUGAAGUGCAAUAUUUGUGGCCAAAGGAAAAUUUAAAUGGUCCUGGAUAUUCUCCUCCUUAUGUACCUUCGGGACAAGCAUGACGGAGCAAGAAUGUGCAUAUACUCUCUAAGAUUCUUGCAAAGAGAUGUUUUCCAGAUCAGACUGCCAGGCCAUAAAACCCAUUCUUAUGAAGAACUCCAAUUACUGCUCAGUGAUGGAUUGCAAUAGAUGCCAUGCCUCUUGCACAAGCUAAGCUGUUGCCAGCAUGCUUCAGGCAUAACUGGGUCCUUUUCAGAAAAGCCUUUGCUGAGGAGCAUCUCCCUGCUGGACUGGCCAGCAAAAGAUCAGAGUACAGGGGACUUCAGAAUGUCAAGACUUGGACUUCAUCUCCUUCUUCCACACAGAACAUGCUAGGCAUGAUUUCACAGGAGAAUGGCAGCUACUCAAGCAGAAAGCUGAUGUUUCUGAUUUCCUAGUUUCUUAUUGUUGAUAAGCUGGCACUGGUGGUAUUUGGGGACCAUGAACACUGCUACAUUUCUGACUUCUUCUGUAGAUCAUUCUUCUAUGACUGACAUGAGCUAAAGACUGAACUUCCUAAGUUUUGGAUUUCAUCUGAGGACAGCUGCCCCAAGACAAAUGUUCUCAUGGACAAAAAGAAGCAUUUUGAAUGGUACAUUGCUACAACAAGGAAGCAAAGGACAACUUCAGCCUAACUCUGAUGUAGAAUCCUGGUACAGUUGGGAAGAAAAGAAAGCUCAAUUUAACCAAAUCACAGAAUCACAGCGUGGUUGGGGUUGGAAGGGACCUCUGGAGAUCAUCUAGUCCAAGCCACCUGCUAAAGCAGGUACUCCUGGAGUAGAUUGCACAGGAAUGUCUCCAGAGAAGGACACUCCACAGCCUCUCUAGGCAGCCUGUUCCAGGACCCUGUCACUCUCAGGGUAAAGAAGUUUUUCCUCAUAUUCAAAUGGAACCUCCUAUGCUUCAAUCUGUGCCCGUUGCCCCUCGUCCUUUUGUUGGGCACCCACAUCUAUCCUCUGCCUUCCUAAACUGUCCCCAACCUGGCGUGGGCCACCCUUAGCUGCAGUCUCUUGGGGGUGGCCAGCCAUGGGCUGCGUCCCCUCAGCAGUGGCACCAGGCACCUCUUGCUGCAGCUACAGAUCUCCAUGACUGUCCAUCCCUCCUCACCGCUCCUCAAGCAUCUCCCUGUGUCUCUCCUUAUGUGUUUCCUCACACAUCUCCUCCCAUAGCUGCCAAGGCUCCUUCUGGGACAUGUUUGAGGGAUGGUGCCAUGUCUCCUUUCAACUCGUGGUAGUUUGGGCACCCAGCGAGUUGCCUCCAUCAGGCUGCAGCACCAGCUACCAGGCCACUCAUCGUCUCCUCCCACACAGGCACUGCUGCUACCCCAGCUACCAAAAUCUUGCUUGUUUGUGCCCACUACAGGUAGUAAUUGUGUAAUUACGAGACAUGGAAUGUCUGACUAGGUAGAGUGAAGGUUGCUUUAAGUGACAGUUUGAACGUUAAUCACAGGUGUCCUUACCUUGUGAAGAUGCAGCCUGAUACCUUGCUUGCAAGUCUCACAAAAUGAACUUUCUUUAAGUGUGGUUGUUUCAUCUGGAAUUUAAGAAAGAAUUGAGAGGUGAGUGCAAAGAUUGUAGGAGACUUAGGAAAUCUGCCAUGCUGAAACAGUGUUAAUUGUUCUGCUAAGCAAGGGCGGCAGGGGGAGUGUGAUGAGUCUGCAAGUGUCUCCAAAUUGCUUCAAAGAGGAAAGGAAUAAUUUGGUUUCCAUUGCUUCUGGGGACAGGAUAAAGAAUAAUGGAAUUAAAUUGCAGUAAAUGCAAUUUAGGCUAGACAUCAGGAAAAAAAUUCCAGUUGUAAAAAUAGUUGCUUUCUAGAAUAGAUUGCUUGGGGAAAUUCUGGAGUCUCUGUCACUGCAGUACUUAAGAGCAGACUAAACAAGCAUUUUCCAGGGAUAAUUUAAGCACACUUGGUUCAGUUGUCCAGGCACAC